rnacentral:lncRNA from 1 species
CAGAAGUGAAAUGUUCUAAAAAUUAAAUGAUUCAAAAUACUAAAUCUUUAUUGAAAAUAGUAAACAAUAAAUCCCGGAUCGUUUGGAUAUCUUUCGAUUAAUUUUUCCACACAAAACAAAAAAAAGUAGCCCACGCGUCAAACGGAAUAGAACAGGUCGACUAAUCUAGUCUAUGACAAAUAUAACCUCGACGCCCUUUACCUGAAAACGAAGUACAAACGCACCCACCUCUUACUUUCCUUGCACAACGACGAUUAUACCCCUGGAACACUUCUAAGCUUCUUCGAAACAAACAAUACUCUGCUUCCAAUUUCUACAGUUGUCUUUCCC